GCCUCUUUAGCUCAGCGGUAGAGCAGCGGUUUCGUAAACCGCAGGUCGUGGGUUCAAAUCCCAUGAGAGGCU
rnacentral:tRNA from 1 species